AUUGAACGCUGGCGGCAGGCCUAACACAUGCAAGUCGAACGAGUGGCGGACGGGUGAGUACUGUCUGGGAAACUGCCCGAUGGAGGGGGAUAACUACUGGAAACGGUAGCUAAUACCGCAUACCAUCGGAUGUGCCCAGAUGGGAUUAGCUUGUAGGUGAGGUAACGGCUCACCUGGGCGACGAUCCCUAGCUGGUCUGAGAGGAUGACCAGGCAUGUGUGAACUGAGGCACGGGCCAGACUCUGACGGGAGGCAUCAGUGGGGAAUAUGGCACAAUGGGCGCAAGCCGGAUGCAGCCAUGCCGGGUGAAGGAAGAAGGCCUUCGGGUUUUAAAGUACUUUCAGCGGGGAGUCGUUACCCGCAGAAGAAGCACCGGCUAAAUCCGUGCCAGCAGCCGCGGUAAUUC
rnacentral:rRNA from 1 species